GAAAUAUUUAUGAGAGGCUGGGAAUUUUAACCAUUCAGUGGCAUGCUUCCCCUCUCUGCCAGGGCGUCCUGCAAAUGGAGGAAGAGCUCGAAAAUGGUGAAGGCAGAGAGGUGCACAGACUCUUGGAGGUGGAGGGAGAAUGCAGGAAUGUGUUCAGCCUAACUUGCCAGAAGGAUUCAGGAGACCUGUGAAGAAGAGCCAAGGUUGCCCAGACCAGCCUACAGCUGAGAUCAGCACAGCCGUCUACCCAACUUGCACCUCACCACAGAGAAUGGAAGAAUCACUCAGCCAUCCUGUAGACCAGUUUGCCAAGGAGGCUGGAAAGUCAUUAUGGCUUCGGGAAGGCCCAAACACACAACCUAAAAACAGAAAAGAAAAACAGUGCAGCAGCGGCAGUCAACAGCAUUGUGGGAAAGAACUGCCCUGUGAAACGGCUUCUGUGCUGGCCAGCUCCCUUCCACAGUGGGUAGACUAUUAAAUGGGUGUAGCCAGAAGGAAUGGG
ensembl:lncRNA